UUGGGCAAAGGAGAGCCUAAGAAGCCAAGAGGCAAAAUAUCUUCACAGCAUUCUUUGUGUAAACUUGCUGGGAGGAGCAGAAGAAGAAGCACCCAAAUGUUCGGUCAAUUUCUCAGAGUUUUCUAAGAAGUGCCCAGAUAGGUGGAAGACCAUGUCUGCCAAGAAGAAAGAAAAAUUUGAAGACAUGGCAAAGGUAGACAAUACUCGUUACAAAAGAGAAAUGAAACCCAUGUCCCUCCUAAAGAAGAAAGAAAAAAGAAGUUCAAAGAUGCCAAUGCACCCAAGAGGCCUCCUUUGGCCUCAUUCUUUUCUGAGUAUCACCCAAAAAUCGAAAGAGAACAUCCCAGCCUAUCCAUUGUUGCAAAGAAACUGGGAGAGACAUGGAAUGACACUGCUGCAGAUGACAGGCAGCCUUAUAAAAAGAAGGAUGCAAGGCUGAAGGAAAAAUACCCAAAGAAUAUUGCUGCACAGUAAGCUAAAGGAAAGACUGAUGUAGCCAAAAAAAAAGGGAGUAAGAACAAGAAGGAAGAGGAGGAAGAUGAAAAAAAGAUGAAGAAGAUGAAGAUGAAGAAGAGGGAGAAGAAGAAGGAAGAAGGAGGAGGAGGAAGAGGAGAAGGAGGAGGAGGAG
rnacentral:lncRNA from 1 species